rnacentral:rRNA from 1 species
CGACACUUAGGUGUUGUUGGGUAGGGGAGCGUUCUGUAAGCCGUCGAAGGUGAACUGUGAGGUUUGCUGGAGGUAUCAGAAGUGCGAAUGCUGACAUAAGUAACGAUAAUGCGGGUGAAAAACCCGCACGCCGGAAGACCAAGGGUUCCUGUCCAACGUUAAUCGGGGCAGGGUGAGUCGACCCCUAAGGCGAGGCUGAAAAGCGUAGUCGAUGGGAAGCAGGUUAAUAUUCCUGCACUUGGUGUUACUGCGAAGGGGGGACGGAGAAGGCUAGGCUGGCCGGGCGACGGUUGUCCCGGUUCAAGCGUGUAGGGGGUGUGACCUGGUAAAUCCGGUUGCAUAUCAACCCUGAGGCGUGAUAACGAACCACUACGGUGGUGAAGUAGCUGAUGCCAUGCUUCCAGGAAAAGCCUCUAAGCUCCAGGUAACACGAAAUCGUACCCCAAACCGACACAGGUGGUCAGGUAGAGAAUACUCAGGCGCUUGAGAGAACUCGGGUGAAGGAACUAGGCAAAAUGGUGCCGUAACUUCGGGAGAAGGCACGCUGGCGCGUAGGUGAAGGGACUUGCUCCCGGAGCUGAAGCCAGUCGAAGAUACCAGCUGGCUGCAACUGUUUAAUAAAAACACAGCACUGUGCAAACACGAAAGUGGACGUAUACGGUGUGACGCCUGCCCGGUGCCGGAAG